UUAAAUGGUGUCAGUUUUUUACUUCCAAAUCUAGAAAUCAUGUUUUUGAAUAAUAUAUUCAAAAAUUAUCUCCAUUCAAAGUUGAAAAGAUAUCUUAUAAAAGGAGAUUUAAUCGUUAAAUAAAACAACAAAGUAUUUGUUGUAAUCAUUUUUUAACUUGGAUUGCAAUGUCAGAUCAUAAAUGGUAAUGGCAACGUUAUCAAAAGUUUAGAGAUUGCCAGCAUAACAAAACAUAAUGUUUUAUUAGAUUGAGAAAUUCCUCAUUUGUUAGUUGCUUUUGUUGUUAGAUACUUACAAGAUUUUCUUGAUGUUUAGUUUCUCUUUACCCCAAAUUGCAAUACUUAUUUUAAUCUUCGGAAUCGCAUUGUAGCGAAAUAAGUGUAAAGUGGGAUCGCGCGUAAUACUGAAUAUUAAGCCAUAUACCCGAGCAAUUAAGGUGUCAGCCAAUGCUCUGGAGAUUUCAGGAACGAGUCCAGACGGGUCAAAAAAAAAACCAGGAGUUUCGUUCCGGGUAUAUCGGGUCCGUCCUUCAUCAUCCAGCAGUCUCAUUAUGGGUUUGGCCGAAUAUACACUUACUUAUAUAUAUAAAGGUCCUCUUAGUGCCCAUAGGAAAAACUGUAAAAAAAAAUAGGAAACUUGUAAUCUUCACAAAUACUAAAUGAACUUUCCAUUAAAACUUGCGGAGAAUCACAGUUCAUAUUUGAAAUAGCUCAAGUUGCAUAUGAGUGAAAGUGCUUUUUAAUUAAUUAUUUUAAUUCAAAUUUGUUUUAUAUUAAAUAAAAUGUUCGAUAUUGUGGAUUAUGCGAACUAAAGUUUCUUAUACUUGUAAUUUUAUAUCAGUUUGCAAAUGGUGGAUAACUUCUAAUUGAUAUUUUUGCCAAUUAAACUAUAUAAAUUAUCAUAUUAAUGUAUUGGCGAAUUUUCGUAAAGAAUUGUUUAGAAUCAUUGUUGUUCGCAUUGACUGUUUCUAAACGGAAGAAUUAUCUAAAAUGCAAAACAGCAGUACGAAAGCAUCCCACUGUUAAAACGACUAAACUAAUUAAACGAUCAGGUUUGGAAUUAGUUCGUUUGAUUGGAAAAUUUACAGAAUAAUAUCAAGUUGUAAAUUCCGUCAAAAGAUAAUCGGAUUAAGCUUUAAAGUAAUCCGUUAUUGAAUUUGUUUAAAGAGUAGAGAUAAGCAGUUCGAAAAUUUCCCAAAAUUUGUUAAUAUUCCUUUUAAAUACAUCAUUAAGUACUAUAAAUUAAACGAGACAGCCAUUAACAGCUACAGAUUAAGAACUUCUGUACCACACUUUCACUCUCCAUCUUUAAAGAUCAAAAUAAUAAAAGGGUACUGAUAUAACAGAAAUGGAUUCUUUAUGGCUGAUAAGGAAUGUAGAUUAAUGAUCACCUCCUUAACGGAAUCGCAUAAAAUAUUUUUGUGUAAAAAAAAAGAUAAAAAAAGUUGCCUAUAUAUAGAUUAUAAAACUUCGAAAAUUUCAUCUGAAAUUUAGAUAAAUGAUGUGAAAACUGAGAAGAAUGUGUAACACAACUUGCUAGUUCGACCUUUCAACUUUACAGUCGAGGAUACGGCUGGAUUUUACGUCCUCUGGCUAUUUUUAUUUUCAAGAAUCAUGCUAAAAACUGUCGUAAUGUUGUUAUUGCUCAGAUAGGAGUCUUAGAU
rnacentral:lncRNA from 1 species